CUAGACUAUCUAAUAGAACUGUGACCUUAGAAUCUAAAAUUUAAUCAAAUCGAGGAUUUGGAGAAUCGUG